AACGCGAAGAACCUUACCGGGGCUUGACAUCCUGCGCUAUCCUAGGAGACUAGGUUUCCGGGCAACCGGACGCAGAGACAGGUGCUGCAUGGCUGUCGUCAGCUCGUGCCGUGAGGUGUUGGGUUAAGUCCCGCAACGAGCGCAACCCUUGCCGUGUGUUGGUCGCAAGAUCUCUCACGCGGGACCGCCGGUGACAAGCCGGAGGAAGGUGGGGAUGACGUCAAGUCAGCAUGGCCCUUACGUCCCGGGCUACACACGUGCUACAAUGGGAGGGACAACGAGUCGCGAACCCGCGAGGGCAAGCUAAUCUCACAAACCCUCUCUCAGUUCGGAUUGAAGGCUGCAACUCGCCUUCAUGAAGUCGGAAUCGCUAGUAACCGUAGAUCAGCUACGCUGCGGUGAAUACGUUCCCGGGCCUUGUACACACCGACAUA
rnacentral:rRNA from 1 species